UGCUUCGUCGUCCAACGGCAGGAUCGCCGACUCUGACUCGGCAGAUGAAUGUUCAAAUCAUUCCGGAGCAGCCA
rnacentral:tRNA from 1 species